rnacentral:rRNA from 1 species
AACGAACGCUGGCGGCAGGCCUAACACAUGCAAGUCGAGCGGACCCUUCGGGGUUAGCGGCGGACGGGUGAGUAACGCGUGGGAAUAUGCCCUUCUCUACGGAAUAGUCCUGGGAAACUGGGGGUAAUACCGUAUACGCCCUUUGGGGGAAAGAUUUAUCGGGGAAGGAUUAGCCCGCGUUGGAUUAGGUAGUUGGUGGGGUAAUGGCCUACCAAGCCGACGAUCCAUAGCUGGUUUGAGAGGAUGAUCAGCCACACUGGGACUGAGACACGGCCCAGACUCCUACGGGAGGCAGCAGUGGGGAAUCUUAGACAAUGGGGGCAACCCUGAUCUAGCCAUGCCGCGUGAGUGAUGAAGGCCUUAGGGUUGUAAAGCCCUUUUGUUGGGAAAGAAAAGCAGCUGGUUAAUACCCGGUUGUUCUGACGGUACCCAAAGAAUAAGCACCGGCUAACUUCGUG